rnacentral:rRNA from 1 species
AUGGUGCUACCAAGGUUGAACGACGACACUGGAAAAAGUUGUUGUCUGCAACCUAUAUUUUCUUCAACUGACCAGGAGUUUGUCACCGUCGGCGUCGGUGAGCGUCAAAGGCAAGUCAGCGACCGUCGCCGACGAGGCAAGGAAGCUGGCUCACUGGUGUCUGCACGCGAGGGGCAUCCACCAUGGUUUUCUCAAGAGAAGGAAGCGAAGCGAUGGGCCGGAGGGGGGGGGGGGGAUAAUGGGAACGACUGGCUACAAAUCACCCAAUUGAAUGCCCUCAAGGCCACCACCAAGCUCUCCCACCUCAAGUCCCCCGCUAACCCCGACGCCGUCCGCUCCUUCCUCGCCGGCCUCGGCCUCUCCAGCGCCGACGUCGCCGCCCUCGUCGCAAAGGACCCGCAGUUCCUCUGUGCCAGCGUGGAGAAGACCCUGGCCCGUAAAGUCGACGAGCUAACCGGCCUCGGUCUCUCGCGUUCCGAGGUCGCGCGGCUGCUCUCGCUCUCAUCCGCCGCCGGCCAUUUCCGCUCUAGAGCCAUUGUCUCCAAGCUGCACUACUACCUGCCCCUCUUAGGCUCCUCCGAGAACCUCCUCCGGGUUAUGAACCGCAAUAUCUACCUCCUAGGCUCCGACAUCGAGAGGAGGAUCAAGCCCAACGUCGCGCUCCUGCAGGAGUGCGGGCUAGGUGCUUGUGUUAUUGCCAAGCUGUGCCGCUCCAAACCGAGGAUGCUCAACACCAGACUGGAAAGCAUCCAGGCGAUGGUGGAGUGUGCAGAAGGCCUUGGUGUGCCCCGUGGCUCUCCAAUGUUCAAGCACGUGCUGGAUGCUGUCUCAUUCAUAAGUGAGGAGAAGAUCACCAGCAAAGUGAACUACCUGAAGAAGACUUUCAGGUGGUCAGAUGCUGAGGUGGGCAUGGUAAGAGGAUGGGUCUCCAUUGAUGCUGAGGCAUUCUAUGGACGCACUGCAGAGCAAAUCAGAGUUCCUUAUCUCCGAGGUCGGGUUGGAACCCGAGUACAUCGCUCAUCGACCAGCAAUGCUCAAUUAUAG